rnacentral:rRNA from 1 species
CAGCAGCCGCGGUAAUACGAAGGGUGCAAGCGUUACUCGGAAUUACUGGGCGUAAAGCGUGCGUAGGUGGUGGUUUAAGUCCGUUGUGAAAGCCCUGGGCUCAACCUGGGAAUUGCAGUGGAUACUGGGUCACUAGAGUGUGGUAGAGGAUAGUGGAAUUUCCGGUGUAGCGGUGAAAUGCGUAGAGGUCGGAAGGAACAUCUGUGGCGAAGGCGACUAUCUGGGCCAACACUGACACUGAGGCACGAAAGCGUGAGGAGCAAACAGGAUUAGAUACCCGCGUAGUCCCUGUCUCUUAUAC